UAGCCGAAAGUGUAGAAUCAACACAGUGCACGUCCGCAAGGCUUGUUCUUUGUUUCUUUGGCGUGGUUGCAUACCAAAUUUUGCUUUCACUAAACUGUUUUAUUUACUAGCUGUACUGAACUAGGAACCAGAACAAACAAAGAGCUGAGAUCUACAGCACUGUACUCUGGUCUCCUGUUGAGCUUUCGAGCCAAGGCUAGCGCUAGCAGACAAGCGAGUUCUCGUGUGCUUGCGAGACUGGACGUGACUCAUCUCAUCCGCCAUGUUAGAUUGAUCAUCGGAAAGUAGGAAAUAGGUGAUCGGAAGAAGUUGCUGUGUAUGGUGGACGACUGUGCAUGUUAUUGCUCUUUUAAAAACUAGCCAUGAGCUGGGGAACUGAACUAUGGGAUCAAUGGGACAACAUAAAUGUCCACACUCAAAAGGGUAUCGACUUUUCGGAGCGGUACAUCCAUUUCCUGAAAGAGCGAAGCUCAGUGGAAAUGGAUUAUGCGAGCAAA